rnacentral:rRNA from 1 species
GAUGAACGCUGGCGGUAUGCCUUAUACAUGCAAGUCGUACGGGAGUUUUAACUCAAGUGGCGGACGGGUGAGUAACACGUAAGAAUUUGCCUUUAGGAGGGGACAACAACUGGAAACGGUUGCUAAUACCCCAUAUGCUUUUGAGUGAAAUGGAUUUCCGCCUAAAGAGAAGCUUGCGGCUGAUUAGCUUGUUGGUAGGGUAAAGGCCUACCAAGGCGACGAUCAGUAUCUGGUUUGAGAGGACGAUCAGACACACUGGAACUGAGACACGGUCCAGACUCCUGCGGGAGGCAGCAGUAGGGAAUUUCCGCAAUGGCGAAAGCCUGACGGAGCAAUACCGCGUGAGGGAUGACUGCCUAUGGGUUGUAAACCUCUUUUUCAGGGAGGAAUAAAUGACGUGUACCUGAAGAAUAAGCAUCGGCUAACUCCGUGCCAGCAGCCGCGGUAAU